rnacentral:rRNA from 1 species
AGUGAACGCUGGCGGUAGGCCUAACACAUGCAAGUCGAACGGCAGCACAGUAAUUGCUUGCUCUUACGGGUUGCGAGUGGCGGACGUUUGAGGUAUACAUCGUAAUCUACUUUUUCGUGUGUGUUAACGUAGGGAAACUUACUCUAAUACCGCAUACCACCUACGUUUGUAAGCAGGGGAUCUUCUGACCUUGCGCGAUUGAAUGAGCCGAUGUCGGAUUUGCUAGUUGGCGGGGUAAAGGCCCACCAAGGCGACGAUCCGUAGCUGGUCUGAGAGGAUGAUCAGCCAAACUGGAAGUGAGACAGGGACAAGAAGACGAAGGGAGGAAGCAGAGGGGAAUAUUGGACAAUGGGGGGAAGCAUGAUACAGCCAUACCGAGUGGGUGAAGAAGGCCUGCGGGUUGGAAAGCCCUUUUGUUGGGAAAGAAAAGCAGCAGGUUAAUACCCCGCUGUUCUGACGGUACCAAAAGAAUAAGCACCGGCUAACUUCGUG